rnacentral:tRNA from 1 species
UACAUUAUGGUGUAUAUGCACAAAAGAUUUUGAAUCUUUAGGAAUAUUUAGUUUAUUUAAUGUAA